rnacentral:tRNA from 3 species
GCGGGAAUAGCUCAGUUGGUAGAGCACGACCUUGCCAAGGUCGGGGUCGCGAGUUCGAGUCUCG